rnacentral:rRNA from 1 species
GUUGAACGCUGGCGGCAUGCCUUACACAUGCAAGUCGAACGGCAGCACGGGUGCUUGCACCUGGUGGCGAGUGGCGAACGGGUGAGUAAUACAUCGGAACAUGUCCUGUAGUGGGGGAUAGCCCGGCGAAAGCCGGAUUAAUACCGCAUACGAUCUACGGAUGAAAGCGGGGGACCUUCGGGCCUCGCGCUAUAGGGUUGGCCGAUGGCUGAUUAGCUAGUUGGUGGGGUAAAGGCCUACCAAGGCGACGAUCAGUAGCUGGUCUGAGAGGACGACCAGCCACACUGGGACUGAGACACGGCCCAGACGCCUACGGGAGGCAGCAGUGGGGAAUUUUGGACAAUGGGCGAAAGCCUGAUCCAGCAAUGCCGCGUGCGUGAAGAAGGCCUUCGGGUUGUAAAGCACUUUUGUCCGGAAAGAAAUCCUUGGCCCUAAUACGGUCGGGGGAUGACGGUACCGGAAGAAUAAGCACCGGCUAACUACGU